UACAGAGGGUGCGAGCGUUAAUCGGAAUUACUGGGCGUAAAGGGCGCGUAGGCGGCUAUAUAAGUUAGGUGUGAAAUCCCUGGGCUUAACCUGGGAAUGGCACUUGAUACUGUGUGGCUAGAGUAGAGUAGAGGGAAGUGGAAUUUCCGGUGUAGCGGUGAAAUGCGUAGAUAUCGGAAAAGAACAUCAGUGGCGAAGGCGGCUUUCUGGACUUUAUACUGACGCUGAGGCGCGAAAAGCAUGGGUAGCAAACAGGGAUUAAGAAA
rnacentral:rRNA from 1 species